GAUGAACGCUGGCGGCGUGCCUAAUACAUGCAAGUCGAACGCUGGAAAUCUAGCUUGCUCGAUUGAAGGAGUGGCGAACGGGUGAGUAAUACAUAAGCAACCUACCCACGAAGACUGGGAUAAUCUCUGGAAACGGGGACUAAUACCGGAUAGGUAAUCGGAAGGCAUCUUCUGAUUAUUAAAGGUUAAAAACACUGGUGGAUGGGCUUAUGGCGCAUUAGUUAGUUGGUGAGGUAACGGCCCACCAAGACGAUGAUGCGUAGCCGGCCUGAGAGGGUGAACGGCGACAUUGGGACUGAGACACGGCCCAGACACCUACGGGAGGCAGCAGUAGGGAAGUUUCGGCCAUGGGGGAAACCCUGAACGAGCAACGCCGCGUGAGUGAGGACGGCCUUCGGGUUGUAAAGCUCUGUUGUAAGGGAAGAACGGUAGAUAGAGAAUAUCUAAAUGACGGUACCUUACCAGAAAGCCACGGCUAACUACGUG
rnacentral:rRNA from 1 species